AUUGAACGCUGGCGGCAGGCCUAACACAUGCAAGUCGAACGAGUGGCGGACGGGUGAGUAAUGUCUGGGAAACUGCCCGAUGGAGGGGGAUAACUACUGGCCACGGUAGCUAAUACCGCAUACCAUCGGAUGUGCCCAGAUGGGAUUCGCUAGUAGGUGGGGUAACGGCUCACCUAGGCGACGAGCCCUAGAUGGUCUGAGAGGAUGACCAGCCACACGGGAACGGAGACACGGUCCAGACUCCUACGGGAGGCAGAAGUGGGGAAUAUUGCACAAUGGGCGCAAGCCUGAUGCAGCCAUGCCGCGGGUAUGAAGAAGGCCUUCGGGUUGUAAAGUACUUUCAGCGAGGAGGCGUUACUCGCAGAAGAAGCACCGGCUAACUCCGUGCCAGCAGCCGCGGUAAUUC
rnacentral:rRNA from 1 species